rnacentral:rRNA from 1 species
ACGAACGCUGGCGGCGUGCUUAACACAUGCAAGUCGAACGGUGAAGCGCCUUCCUUUUUGGUGGGUGUGGAUGAGUGGCGAACGGGUGAGUAACACGUGAGUAACCUGCCCCCUUCUUCUGGAUAACCGCAUGAAAGUGUGGCUAAUACGGGAUAUUCUGGGUCUGUCGCAUGAUGGGUCUGGGAAAGAUAUUGUUUCGGUGGGGGAUGGGCUCGCGGCCUAUCAGCUUGUUGGUGGGUGAUGGCCUACCAAGGCGGUGACGGGUAGCCGGCCUGAGAGGGUGGACGGUCACACUGGGACUGAGACACGGCCCAGACUCCUACGGGAGGCAGCAGUGGGGAAUAUUGCACAAUGGGCGCAAGCCUGAUGCAGCGACGCCGCGUGAGGGAUGGAGGCCUUCGGGUUGUGAACCUCUUUCGCCAGUGAAGCAGGCCUGCCUCGUUUGUGGGUGGGUUGACGGUAGCUGGAUAAGAAGCGCCGGCUAACUACGUG